CCACUUGAUUUGCUCCAUUCUUGAAGUGAAUGUGACAGCAACGUAUAAUGAGUCUGAAUGAAGAUAAGUGGUUGAACAAUAAACGUGAGCGUUCCAAAGAUCAAAAAAAUAACAAUCAUCACUGUAAUUAUAAAAGGAGAAUAAAAAAAAUUCUCAAAAUAGUCCUUCAAAAUGUGAAGGCAGUAUUUACCAUCAAAUAGGUAUGAAAAUAGUAAAGCACGUCACUAAUUAUGAUCCAUUCCUUGAAAAAAUGUGACUUGUGAUAAGCAUUGAAAAUGCAGACUCAUUCCUAUAUAUGAAUGUGGUAAUACAUGAUAAACGCAAUGAAUAAAUACAUGCAAGGCAUGCUUGGAUGAAUACCACACAACUCGCCCUUGAGAGAGGAUUGAGUGAAAUAAAGAGAAUAAAUAUUAUUGUGUGGUUACAUGAAUAUGUCAUUGGUCUCGUAN
rnacentral:lncRNA from 1 species